rnacentral:rRNA from 1 species
CAUAGUAACUUGUCUCUUAAUUGGAGGCUUGAAUGAAAGGUUUAACGAAAGAUGACUUUUUCUUUAUUAACCAGGAAUUUAACUCUCAGUUAAAAUUCCGAGAUAUUGUUUAGGGACGAUAAGACCCUAUAAAAUUUUACUCCUUGUAUUUAUUAGUUUAGUACUGAUUAGUUUAUUGGGUUUGGUUGGGGCAACUGGAAUAUAAAAGUUAAUUGUUCUUUAUAUUUACUACAUUAGUUUAUGGAAAGGAUGACCUUAAUAAGAUCUUAAGAAUAAAUUACUUUA